rnacentral:rRNA from 1 species
GACGAACGCUGGCGGCGUGCUUAACACAUGCAAGUCGAGCGGUAAGGCCCUUUCGGGGGUACACGAGCGGCGAACGGGUGAGUAACACGUGGGUGACCUGCCCUCAGCUCUGGGAUAAGCCUGGGAAACUGGGUCUAAUACUGGAUAUGACUCCACGGUGCAUGUCGUGGGGUGGAAAGCCUUGUGCGGCUGAGGAUGGGCCCGCGGCCUAUCAGCUUGUUGGUGGGGUGAUGGCCUACCAAGGCGACGACGGGUAGCCGGCCUGAGAGGGCGACCGGCCACACUGGGACUGAGACACGGCCCAGACUCCUACGGGAGGCAGCAGCGGGGAAUCUUGCGCAAUGGGCGAAAGCCUGACGCAGCGACGCCGCGUGAGGGAUGACGGCCUCGGUUGUAACGUAC